ensembl:lncRNA TRIM52-AS1 TRIM52 antisense RNA 1 (head to head)
ACCCUGCCCCGCCCCCUUUCCCGCUCCGCUCCGGGGCCGCCCUCUUUCCCUGCCUCGCGACACCCAGACCGAGACCUCGGGAAUGCUCCGGCCCCCUGCCGCCGUCUCCCGGCCCGGUUCUCUUUCACUAAAAAUAGGCGAUUCUGGCAGCGCCCCUCCUAUGGGGCCUUGGGGGCAAUUGGGGUUUUGUCUUAGAGCCCGUGUGGACCCGGAUGGCGACGGCAGCCCGAGGAGAGGGAGGGCUGACUGUAUGGUUGGCUUUCCGACGACCAGACCCUGCAGGAUUCGGCCUUUCCCUUUGGAGUUUUCCUCCAUCCCCCUCCGUCCCUCCCAGGGGAUGCCCGCAGGCCACAGUGGUCACUGAAGGUCAACCCUGAGCCGAAGGAGAAGUGGCCUCGACCCUGGGGACCCCUUCAGGUGCAGCUUGAGGGGGAACGGCCGCCUUUCCCGUUGGGCACCCAGCUGUGGCUGUGCCCUGUCCUCGCCCAGCUCCCGGCAUAGGCAUGCGCUCUGGGCCGGGGCCGGGGCCCCCCGCCUCCCCGGGAGGAAUCGCUGGGUUGACUCUGGGUCAGCAAAGGGAGCCCGGCCCUUUCUAGCGGGGGGACGUCCUGCAGCCGCUGGAGGAGGCUGAGUCACGCUUUUCCCACCAGAAGUCUACCUGUGCCUGCGCCCGCCGGACCUGCCGGCCUCUUCCUUCUCAUCCAGGGGGCCUCUUCUCCAGCCUCACGGAGGUGGGAAGCUUGCUGGAGGCCCCUACCUGCCUUUUGGGGAAGACCCCGAGGCUGGCCCACGCCCUGCUGGCAGGACCCUUCCUGACUGGGUCCACCGUUCUUCUGGGUCUCACCACUUCUCCCAGCCCCUGGGCUGCUUCCUCUCUCCCGUGUCUGGGACCCCAGAGGCACCACUUCCAUUCCAUACAAGCUUGCAGAGUCAAGACGAACUCUAACUCAUGGGAUGGACAAACUGGAAGAUGUAAAAUAAGUAAGGCUUUCUGGGCCAAAAAGCCUCUUCUUACAGAAAAUCAAAUUUUAAAAGAACAUUGACCUCAAAACAAUAAAACUGUCCUGGUUAUGCAAUAGAAAUAGCUAUAUAAAUGGAAUCAUAUCCUUAAUGAACACCUCCUGUGGCUACCCAACUUUUCACACAUCUUACUGAUUAUAGGCCUUGCUGUGAAUGCUUUCUUGCUCUAUCUGAAGUAUUCCCACCAGAGUUGUUUCCAACUUUAUUUCCUAUAUUAUGAAAAAUGAAGUUUUUUUAACAUUGUAACAAAGUAUAUGAAAGAUAAUGUAUACUGUAUUAAAUAAACCAUUAUACAAAAAUA